GCCCCGGUGGCUUAGUGGCUAUAGCAUUCGCCUUGUAAGCGAAAGGUCGCGAGUUCAACUCUCGCCCGGGGCUCCA
rnacentral:tRNA from 2 species